rnacentral:lncRNA from 1 species
GUUAGGACUUGCUCAAACAAAUAAAUUCGGACUUGGAUAUGAAAGGACUCAUGUAGAUCAAGUGAUGAAGAAAGUUGACGAACACUUGACGAAACCGGUUCCUAAGGUUUAUGGUAAGUUUAUCCCUCCUAAGAAUUAUUUUGCUAACAAAACUUGUCAUUUGUGUGGUGUUGUAGGUCAUGUGAAACGCUAUUGCAAACAAAAACCGAAGAGUACCACAACACCUAUUAAACCAAGAA